CUCUCUCACGUUGACGCUGAAUGCUAGGAGCAAAAAAAUUAAUUAAACCCGUUUUAACGACUUUAACUUGAGCACACCACAGGACUUUGUAAGGAUAUUGUAAAUUGGUCCGAGCCAUGUUUAAGAUAUCACCUAUACAAACAUAUUUAUAUCACAUUUGUUCGUUUUUGCAAUCGCUUAUCAAAAUUCAUGCAAUUAUAAGAUAAUUAAAGUAAACGAAAUCAUUAAGGUAAGUGAUUAUAGAUUUAAUACUUGUGCUCGUUCGUUUGGUGAGUUUUCUCUGACGGUACAGAUACAAGAUUAUUUUGACUUGAAUACCCCCAUUAUUGAACCUUCAUAGUAAAAAGAAAAACACAUGUGGGGGACAUAUGCUGGUAGGUGCAGCUAAUACUAAAAGUUAAAGUGGGGAAAAAGACCUUACUGGGGGUACAUAAGUUUAUAUGCUAUAGAAGGUUAGCAAAUGAUUUUAACUGUGGUAUGAAAUUAAAGUGGGAUAAAAAGACUUCAGUGGGGGAUUCAAGAAUUCAUUUAGGGAAAUCCUUGAAGUAUGAAAAUUUGAAACGAUAUAGAUACAAGUAAACUACGCAUAAUUCACAAGGCGGUAUUCGAAAAAUGAAAUUCUUAAAAGACUAUCAAGCGUUAUUUUAUUAUAUUAUUAUUUACUACUUUUUUUUUUGUACUAAC